ncrna:unclassified sequences Bacteroidales-2 RNA
GCACGUCCCCCGUCUUUUCCAACGGGGCAGCUAACAUUCGGGCGGUUGGCGGCUGGUGAUUGUGGGCAUAAUCUUGGCAAUGCUCUUUUCUCAAGCUCCGUGCGGAUUGUUUUUACCGCAUAGCGAUUUUUAUCUCCGGCUGCGCAUGGGCAGACUUAUGGCAUUAUUUUAUCGCCUCCCUUUUCCAUACGACUCUCACCCUCCCAAAAUCACGGGUUUUGCGUAUGCGGACAAAAUACACGUAUUUCGACCGUUCCGACUUGCGGCAUUGGUUUGCCGUUCCGCUCGGUGUGGUUAUUUAACACCCUAUUUAAGCGUUCCAAAACGCACGGACGAAUUUUUGAUUUUCCCAGCCUCAAAAAUAGGUUUCCCACAAAAAGGGCUGUUUGUUU